rnacentral:rRNA from 1 species
GACGAACGCUGGCGGCGUGCUUAACACAUGCAAGUCGAACGAUGAACCCGGAGCUUGCUCCGGUGGAUUAGUGGCGAACGGGUGAGUAACACGUGAGUAACCUGCCCUUGACUCUGGGAUAACUGCGGGAAACUGUAGCUAAUACCGGAUACGACCCUCGGCGGCAUCGCCAGGGGGUGGAAAGAAUUUCGGUCAAGGAUGGACUCGCGGCCUAUCAGCUAGUUGGUGAGGUAACGGCUCACCAAGGCGACGACGGGUAGCCGGCCUGAGAGGGGGGCCGGCCACACUGGGACGGAGACACGGCCCAGACUCCUACGGGAGGCAGCAGUGGGGAAUAUUGCACAAUGGGCGCAAGCCUGAUGCAGCAACGCCGCGUGAGGGAUGACGGCCUUCGGGUUGUAUACCUCUUUCAGCACCGACGAAGCGCAAGUGACGGUAGGUGCAGAAGAAGGACCGGCCAACUACGUGCCAGCCGCCGCGGUAA